rnacentral:rRNA from 1 species
CCUACGGGAGGCAGCAGUAGGGCAUCUUCCACAAUGGGCGAAAGCCUGAUGGAGCAACGCCGCGUGGGUGAAGAAGGUCUUCGGAUCGUAAAACCCUGUUGUUAGAGAAGAAAGUGCGUGAGAGUAACUGUUCACGUUUCGACGGUAUCUAACCAGAAAGCCACGGCUAACUACGUGCCAGCAGCCGAGGUAAUACGUAGGUGGCAAGCGUUGUCCGUGUUUAUUGGGCGUAAAGGGAACGCAGGCGGUCUUUUAAGUCUGAUGUGAAAGCCUUCGGCUUAACCGGAGUAGUGCAUUGGAAACUGGGAGACGUGAGUGCAGAAGAGGAGAGUGGAACUCCAUGUGUAGCGGUGAAAUGCGUAGAUAUAUGGAAGAACACCAGUGGCGAAAGCGGCUCUCUGGUCUGUAACUGACGCUGAGGUUCGAAAGCGUGGGUAGCAAACAGGAUUAGAGACCCCAGUAGUC